rnacentral:misc_RNA from 1 species
UUCAGCCUCUCUCUCUCUCUCUCUCUCUCAACUCUAACCCAUCCCAGAUAAAAGUCACCAAACCCACUCAUUUCCUUUGAAUAUCUCCUGAUUCCUCUACUUUUCCUUCUUCUUCAAUCAUUUAAUACAAGCCCUUCAAUUAAAACCAGAUUCAAACCUCAUCUCAUUCGCAAAUCUUCCUGCUUUUUACUACUUUCCACAACUCCGGAGGAAGCUAAUCAGACCCACUUUUUCAUUUCUUCUUACAAUGACUUUUGUUUUACUCAUAUUCUUCUACUGCUUAUAUACUCCUU